UUAAACAAGUAGAAAUAAUUAAAAUAUGAAUUUUGACACUAAUUUAAAAAUUUUUGGCAUAAAAAUAGGCAAACGGGCCGAACCUGUUGGACCGAACCUAAGAUCCAACCUAUAAACUCCCAAAAUUGGUUUUCUUCAUCAUUUUUUCACUUUGAAUAGGUUGCAAAAGAGAGAAUUGUCCAUAACUUUCAAUCCAGAGCUCCGAUUGACGUGCCGUCAACGGCCAAGUGUUCGUAUCGGAAUUCUCUUCAAUUCUAUCGAACAAAUUGAUACAGGUCGAGAGACACCUCGUUGAGCGUCUGGAGACCCUCCUUACAAGCGAAGAACUAUCUUUUGGGCCAUUAUAUUUUGUUUUAAGCUAUGUAUAUAUGCUUAUAGAAUCUCUGCAUGUAUAUUUUGUAUUUUGUCCCUCCUAGAGGUUGACUUGGAGAAAUAAGUGUUUAUUCUGUAGUUUGAGUUAUAUUUUGGGUUGUAUAAAUAUAUAUAUAUAUAUACUCUAGUCGGCCUUAGCUUCGCGUCUUAGAGUCUUAGAUUCACGGAUUGAGUUCGGAGCUAGUUAUCUGUAUUUUGGAAUUCUGAUCCAUAUAGUUAUGUUUUUAAUCUUCUUUUCAAUCUUGCU